ensembl:lncRNA
GGUAUUACAGGCGUGAGCCACCAUGCCUGGCCUGCUUUUUUUACAUAUACGUGUAAAGCAGCGUGCACAUGUGCUCAGCUGUGACUUUCUAUAUAUGGCUCUAGUUGUUUAUAUACAGAUAUAUGGAUGUGUAUAGUGGGAGAAUGUGUUUAUGGAAGGAGGGUAUCACUUUGAUGCCUUAAGCUACAAGGAAAGAAAAAGAAAAGAAAAAAAGAAAAAAAGAAACAAUAAAUCCAGUUAAUAUCUCUCAUGACUAGAAUUCCGGAGGUGGGAAGGGAGGACGCUCAAGUUGACUGACUGUGUGGAUCAGUAACAGCAUUAGAGGCCCUGGGUCAUUUCCACUUCUCCACUCUGCUUAAUUCUGCAUCCUCAAGGUCACAAAAUGGCUGCAGCAUUUCCAUACCCCACACUCUCACAUUACAGAAUCCAGUGACGGGUAAAUGAGUCUUGACUUCUGAGAUGACUUUCUCAAGAAUAAGGAAAAUUUCGCAGGAGUCCCAAGCCAACUUCUUUCCAUGUGUCAUUGGCUAGAACUUGGUCACAUAGCCCAAAGGUAAACCAAUCUCCAUCAGGGGGACUAAGACCAUCAGGGCUGGCUUAGACUAAUGAAGUUCCCUGUCCUGGAACAGGGGUUGGAAUCAGCCUUUCAGAACACAAGACUGCUUGGAGAAAUGGUGGUCAUCUGACAGAGUUCGUCAGGAAGGGGGAAGCCAACAGCACCUGUGAUAAAGGAGUGUGCACACGUGCGCAGGCACGUCUGUUUAUAAGUGUACGUGACUUUGAACAUGUAUGAACAUGUGUUUCACUGACUUUUUUUUUUUUUUUUUGAGAUGGUGUCUUGCUCUGUCACCCAGGCUAAGGUGCAGUGGCAUGAUCUCGGCUCACUGCAACCUCUGCUUCCUGCUGAGAGAGCAAAUCCUGGCCAAGAUGACAAUCUAAUCAUUAAUGGUAUCUUGUCUUUGACUGGGAGGCCUUGGGUCCCAUGCCAGAUGGAAGACUCAGCCCUUAUCAUAACUCUGCCAAAACCACGAUACUGGCAGUAGGAGAUGAGACUACCACAUAUAUAUUUUUUUAAUUCUCUGAGAGACUUUCAGUGUUGGGCUUCUCUAGCUGAGGCACCACUGGUCCCCAAAAAGCCAAGGGAAAACCUUAGCUGUUAUGCCCCCUUUCUUUCCAACCCCCAGCCCAUCCCUACCUAUGGAGCUGGAGACCUCGGGAGGGUAUUUCUCAGAAAGCAGGAAGCCUCAGCUCAAGGCUGCCAGCAGGGUGAGGCUUCCUACCUCAGAGAGGCCCUGAGCACUCGGCUUCUUUCCCUCUCCACAGCAGUGUGUUUCCCAGUAAAGAAAAUAGGAUGCACCGGGCACGGUGGCUCACACCUGUAAUCCCAGCACUCUGGGAGGCCGAGGCAGGCAGAUCACCUGAGGUCAGGAGUUCGAGACCAGCCUGCCCAACAUGGUGAAACCCCGUCUCUACUAAAAAUAAAUAAAAUUAGUCGGUGGUGGGAUGCCUGUAAUCCCAGCUACUCAGGAGGCUGAGGCAGGAGAAUCGCUUGAACCUGGGAGGCAGAGGUUGCAGUGAGCCGAGAUUGCGCCACUGCACUCCAGCCCGGGCAACAAGAGAGAAACUCCAUCUCAAAAAAAAAAAGAAAAGAAAAA